GCUGACUAGAAGCUCUUCAAGUGGAGAUUUCAUUUCUCCUUUCACUUGCUCUGUAAAUAAGGAGCAGCUAGCACAAGCAACGUGGGUUUGCAAAUAUUACUUUCACCAAGUAUGUUUUUCACUAAAUAAAGGCACUGGCUUUCUGUGCAGCCUCUACACCUUGUUGCUGCGAGUGCAGACCUGCAUGUAUUAACUCCUGAAAUAUCUGAUAUUAUUAGGAUUCCAAGUCCAAAAACACACCAUCUACCAUUUAUUGAGUGGCUCCUAUCUGUUGGGCUCUAUACAACUACUUGACAUGGCUAGUCUCCUGGAACUGUUGUGAAACCUCUAUGAAGUGGCAUCAACCCCAUUUUAGAGGUGGAGAAAUAGAAGCUCAGAGGGGUGGAGUUACUUACCAGGGUCACACAGCUCCGUCGCCCAGGUCUGUUUGAUUUCAAAGCUUCUUGGUUUCUUUAUCACCCUGCACAGCAAUGCUCCCUGUUUUUGCCUCAGCCGUGCCCUCACUUUAUAUACUCGGUAUUGAAUUUUUCUCGUCUUUGACUUACAUUGCUUUGCUCGUUUUUAUCAAUAGGCAUACACAUCAGAGUAAAAUGAAGCUAGUUCAUUGUACGUGAGAAAACUCAGCCCUGAGACAUUCCCGGUGGUGUAAAUGAGUAAAAGCUUGGUUAACCUUUCAGUAAACAUCUCUCCAAGUCACCCGAUGAGGCCAUGAACCAACCUUUUUUUUUUUUUUUUAAAUCCCAGGCUCGGAUACUCUGAUUAACAGAGAAUUAACUCACUAAAAUCCUCACUGUGCUCAUAGAGCGGCCACAUUGCUGGGGUGCUGGAGGGGAGAAGUCCCGGUUCAGCUUUUCCUAACAGACAGCACAAUUCAUGGGCUUCCCUAAGCCUUUGGAUUAUCCAAGGGGAGAAGAUCUGGAAAUGACUGUGUAUCAAAGCUAUGAUCCAAGGAGGGCCUGCUUCUCAGUUCUUCUCUCACUUCUCCUUUCAUGUUGCAGUGGCGCCACAGCACAGCGGCUCAGAACCACCGACGGAUGCUGGGGCCACAUGGCAGCCUUGAAAUCACUGCUGGACGCUACUUACAGGAUGUGUGAUAUUGGGCAGCAACUCGAGUCCCCUAAUCUUCACAGCAGCCCUGUGUGAAUUUGGAGACCCCACCAGUAUGGCUCAACUCAUGAGAACCUACCAGAGUGAAGCAAAAACAGUCUUGAAUCAAGUAUUACCACACCAAGAUUGGCACUGAAAACUUGCAGAGGAAGUUCGGAGCCAGAAUAUUGGAUGUCCCCAUGGUUUGGGCAAUUACAGUAAAUGUUUCCCAUCCCUGCUGCUCCUAUAAGUGCUUGGAAAAGGUAUCUUGGGCCUAUAGAAAAGGUGAGUGGGGCUUAACACCAUAGGCUUUUGGUCACUGUAUUAAACUGUGUUACUAAGGGAUAACCAAAGACCCUAGCAAAGAUGGGGGGAAAAUAACUCAUUUAUUUCUUUCGGCUUCAGGAAGUUACUCUAUGUUGUGUGGGCAAAGACUUUGUGUCUUAUUUUCAUUUUUCUUUUAGCUAAAGUUGUAUAAUUUGCCCAGCAACUUUUCGCACAUUGGUCUCUGUCUCUAAGUGGUCUUUUAAAAUUCUUUGUGUGGUAUGACCAGAGAGAUUUUAGAUAUAGAGUGGUCUGUUUGCUUAAAAUGUUUUUGAAAAAUUAAAGUUAAUUGACUGUGGGACUUGGUCAUUUGUAUGCAUCAUGAGAACAUCCAGUUCCAACAGAGAGAGCCAUCUUGAGAUGAAAAAAGAACAGAAAAAUCUGUUCAGUGGAUAGCAUGAAAAUAUGAUACCCUAUUCUGUGAUGUUAAAGAAAAUCACAGGGUUUUUGUGUGUGUACAUGUGUGUGUGUGUGUGUGUGUGCGUGUGCGUGCAUGCACUGAGCAUAACGACUGAAGAGGUUGACUGGAAUAGGGUAAGAAAUGGAGCUACCUCUGGAGAUACAAAUAAUAUUAUCUAAUGCAAACUAUUUACUUACUGUUGCAAGUUGGGUUUUCCUGGAAGCAGACCUGGAGACAGUUUAGCAGGCAGGAUGGUUAUGAAGGGAUCAUCACCUGUGGAUGGUGGGGUAUCAAGCAGGUAUGGGUAGAAGAAGUCCAAACUGUAAUGCAGGCCCUACAAAUACUUUGGGCAACCCUAAAGGGUACUCAGAAGUUAGAAUAGGCCUUUAGUGUUGUCCUGUUAGUUCAAGAUUGAUUGAACAUUUAUAUCUCACAUGGAUGUGGUUCCCUGCAGCUGAGAUAUCACCUGACAGCAGCAAGAUUCCUGCUUAUAUCACUCCCAGCAGCUGGGGCAAGUCCUUCAAUGAGAGGGGAUCUGGGUGGAUCAUCAAGGGAUCCACCUCCUUGGUUAUGUAAGUUUGUGAAACUAAAUUGCUUAAUCUGGAGGGAAAUGAACAAGAUAGUUAAAUUUAUCAAAUUUAAUGGAGCACAUAUUAAAUUAGCCUAGGGACUUAUAUUUAAAUAUGCACAUUUAGAAUGAAGAGUCUCAAUAACUCAU
rnacentral:lncRNA from 1 species